rnacentral:rRNA from 1 species
AGCAGCCGCGGUAAUUCCAGCUCCAAUAGCGUAUAUUAAAGUUGUUGCAGUUAAAAAGCUCGUAGUUGAAUUUCGAGACCGGUUUACUGGUCGUGCUUUUGUACGUACUGGUAUAAUCGGUUUCUCUCUUCUGACGAACUAUAAUGCCAUUAAUUUUGUGUUAUAGGGAAUCAGGACUGUUACUUUGAAAAAAU